UAGUUUGAUCAUGGCUCAGGAAAGUCGUAACAAGGUAGCCGUAAGUCGUAACUAGGUAACCGUAGAGUUUGACAUGGCUCAGGAUAAGUCGUAACAAGGUAACCGUAAGUCGUAACAAGGUAACCGUAGAGUUUGAUCAUGGCUCAGCCUUUGACUUAAAAAAAUGGAGAAGACGUAACAAGGUAACCGUAAGUCGUAACAAGGUAACCGUAGAGUUUGAUCAUGGCUCAGCCUUUGACUUAAAAAAAUGGAGAAGUCGUAACAAGGUAAAUCUGAAUUCG
rnacentral:rRNA from 1 species